rnacentral:rRNA from 1 species
AUUGAACGCUGGCGGCAUGCUUUACACAUGCAAGUCGAACGGUAACAGGUUAGGCUGACGAGUGGCGAACGGGUGAGUAAUGCAUCGGAACGUGCCCGGUCGUGGGGGAUAACGCAGCGAAAGCUGCGCUAAUACCGCAUACGAUCUGAGGAUGAAAGCGGGGGACCGUAAGGCCUCGCGCGAUCGGAGCGGCCGAUGUCAGAUUAGGUAGUUGGUGGGGUAAAGGCUCACCAAGCCAACGAUCUGUAGCUGGUCUGAGAGGACGACCAGCCACACUGGGACUGAGACACGGCCCAGACUCCUACGGGAGGCAGCAGUGGGGAAUGUUGGACAAUGGGCGAAAGCCUGAUCCAGCAAUGCCGCGUGCAGGAAGAAAGCCUUCGGGUUGUAAACUGCUUUUGUACGGAGCGAAAAGGUCUCCUCUAAUACAGGGAGCUCAUGACGGUACCGUAAGAAUAAGCACCGGCUAACUACAUGCCAGCCGCCGCCGUAA